rnacentral:misc_RNA from 1 species
CUUGGUCAUUUAGAGGAAGUAAAAGUCGUAACAAGGUCUCCGUUGGUGAACCAGCGGAGGGAUCAUUACCGAGUUUACAACUCCCAAACCCCUGUGAACAUACCUUUAUGUUGCCUCGGCGGAUCAGCCCGCGCCCCGUAAAACGGGACGGCCCGCCGCAGGAACCACAAAACUCUGAUUUUAGUGUAACUUCUGAGUCUAAAAAACAAAUAAAUCAAAACUUUCAACAACGGAUCUCUUGGUUCUGGCAUCGAUGAAGAACGCAGCAAAAUGCGAUAAGUAAUGUGAAUUGCAGAAUUCAGUGAAUCAUCGAAUCUUUGAACGCACAUUGCGCCCGCCAGUAUUCUGGCGGGCAUGCCUGUUCGAGCGUCAUUUCAACCCUCAAGCCCCCGGGUUUGGUGUUGGGGAUCGGGCUGUACUCCAGCCCGGCCCCGAAAUCUAGUGGCGGUCUCGCUGCAGCCUCCAUUGCGUAGUAGCUAACACCUCGCGACUGUAACGCGGCGCGGCCAAGCCGUUAAACCCCCAACUUCUGAAUGUUGACCUCGGAUCAGGUAGGAAUACCCGCUGAACUUAAGCAUAUCAAUAAGCGGAGGA